rnacentral:rRNA from 1 species
CACCCAGCAGCUAGCCCAUCCCCCCAAAAACAACCAAAAACCAUAUAUAAACCACAACAACCUAAUACAAAUUAAACAAACCAUUUUUCCUCCAAAGUAUGGGAGACAGAAAAGGACCACAGGCGCAAUAGAAAAGUACCGCAAGGGAAAACUGAAAGAGAAGUGAAAAAACUCAGUAAAGUAAAAAAAACCAGAGAUUAAUGCUCGUACCUUUUGCAUCAUGAAAUAGCUAGAACUUACUAAGCAAAAUGAAUUUUAGUUUAGCCCCCCGAAACUAGGUGAGCUACUCCAAGACAGCCUAUAAAAGGGCACACCCGUCUCUGUGGCAAAAGAGUGGGAAGAGCUUUGAGUAGAGGUGAUAAACCUACCGAACCUAGUUAUAGCUGGUUGCCUAAGAAAUGAAUAGAAGUUCAGCCUUUUGGGUUCUUAACUCCAAACUGGCAACGCCCGACCCAGACCACAAGAAAACCAAAAGAGUUAGUCAAAAGGGGUACAGCCCUUUUGACAAAAGAUACAACUUUAUAGAGGAGGUAAAAGAUCAAAAAUUUAAAGGCACUAUGUUAGAGUGGGCCUAAAAGCAGCCACCCCCUAAGAAAGCGUUAAAGCUCAUACAUUCAACCCCCUUUAAUCCCGAUAACAAUUUCUUAAGCCCCUCAACCUAUUAGGCCUAUCUAUGCAAACAUAGAAGAGAAUAUGCUAUUAUGAGUAAUAAGAGAGGCCCGCCUCUCUCCUAGCGCCCGUGUAAAUCAGAACGGACCUCCCACUGAAAAUUAACGCCCCCAAACAAAGAGGGUAUUGGACAACAAAAUAUAACACCAGAAGACCCACCAACAACAAUCGUUAACCCCACACAGGAGCGCCAAAGGAAAGACUAAAAGAAAAAGAAGGAACUCGGCAAACACUAGCCUCGCCUGUUUACCAAAAACAUCGCCUCUUGAGCAUAAAACUAUAAGAGGUCCCGCCUGCCCUGUGACCCCUGUGUUUAACGGCCGCGGUAUUUUGACCGUGCGAAGGUAGCGCAAUCACUUGUCUUUUAAAUGGAGACCUGUAUGAAUGGCAUAACGAGGGCUAAUCUGUCUCCUCUUUCCAGUCAAUGAAAUUGAUCUGUUCGUGCAGAAGCGAGCAUAAAAACAUAAGACGAGAAGACCCUAUGGAGCUUCAGACACCAGAAUAGCCUGCGUCAAAAAACCUUAAUUAAAAGGACAAACCAAACAGCCCCUAUUCUAUUGUCUUUGGUUGGGGCGACCGCGGGGUAAAAAAUAACCCCCACGUGGAACAAGGAUAAAACCUUUAAAACCAGGGCCACAGCCCUAAUAAACAGAACAUCUGACCAACAAGAUCCGGCACCGCCGAUCAACGGAACCAGUUACCCUAGGGAUAACAGCGCAAUCCUCUUUUAGAGCCCAUAUCGACAAGGGGGUUUACGACCUCGAUGUUGGAUCAGGAUAUCCUAAUGGUGCAGCCGCUAUUAAGGGUUC